rnacentral:rRNA from 1 species
GAUGAACGCUGGCGGCGUGCCUAAUACAUGCAAGUCGAGCGAACAGAUGAGGAGCUUGCUCCUCUGACGUUAGCGGCGGACGGGUGAGUAACACGUGGAUAACCUACCUAUAAGACUGGGAUAACUUCGGGAAACCGGAGCUAAUACCGGAUAAUAUAUUGAACCGCAUGGUUCAAUAGUGAAAGACGGUUUUGCUGUCACUUAUAGAUGGAUCCGCGCCGCAUUAGCUAGUUGGUAAGGUAACGGCUUACCAAGGCAACGAUGCGUAGCCGACCUGAGAGGGUGUUCGGCCACACUGGAACUGAGACACGGUCCAGACUCCUACGGGAGGCAGCAGUAGGGAAUCUUCCGCAAUGGGCGAAAGCCUGACGGAGAAACGCCGCGUGAGUGAUGAAGGUCUUCGGAUCGUAAAACUCUGUUAUUAGGGAAGAACAAAUGUGUAAGUAACUAUGCACGUCUUGACGGUACCUAAUCAGAAAGCCACGGCUAACUACGUG